CCUGCGCUAGUCUGAGCCAGGUAUAUUCACAAUUUUAAGGCAGGGAAGGUCUGGAUAUAAUUAAGUUAACUAAUUAGUUCCCAUUCUUCAUGCAUAUAUAAGCUAGAACUUGAAUUGUAUAAAUAAUAAUCUAUUUCGAUACAAUUGGGUAGCGCAUUUUUUCAGUCAUAUUCAGAAUUUUGAGUGUUAUAUGAUGAAUAUAGAUUUCAGCAUCGAGUUCUUGUUUCUUUUCUUAUAUACCUUUCGAGUGUAUUUAUUCACGUGUUUUGCAACGUUUUUCUUUAUGGACCAAGUCUUGAUUUUUGAUCAUAUAUUUUGUGAGUUGUAAUCCGCGUCAACGUGUUGUUUAUAAUUUUCCUACUUUGCACAAGAACUUUGUAUCAUCGCUAAAAAGUAAGCCAUAACUAUUAUUAUCAAACUACAGGUUUAAAAGUGAAGAAAAAUCUACCGAUAUAUGAUAUUGGCAUGGUUGAUGGUGGAGUGACGACUGAUUGAUGUAGGUAGAAAGGGCUUUACGAAGAUAUUGUUACUGCUGGUGGUCGAGUGACGAUUGGUCGAUGUAAAUGGAAAGGGCUUUGCGAAGAAUGAAGAUAUUGUCACUGCUAGAGGACGAGUGAUGAUCGGUCGAAGUAAAUGGGAAGGUCUUUGUGAAGCUAGAAGAUAUUGUUUCUGCUGGUGAGCGAGUGGCAAUUGAUCGAUGUGAAUGGACAGAUUCUGACGGGAACAGCGAAUCAAGGCGAUCUCAAUAUUACAAAUCUGGAUAAAGUGUGUACUUGACGGAAGUAGAAGAUGAUUAAUCCCCCAUGAAGCAGGCGUAAAAUGGCAGUUAUCGAGAUAUGGAGUGUUUUCGAAUUGUACCAAUCGUAUUUUCCAUUUUAUUUUAAUCAGUUCUGUAUCCGGGUUUUUGAGGAGGUCAGCGCUUGCUUAGCCACCCCAGAUCGUGGGUCAUGAUAGGUAUCGAUUGGUUAGGGACACUUGAGAUUUCUUGAUGUGUACAUGUGAGGGCUGCCAUUAAAUAACUAUCAGCUCGUAGACUGCUAUCAUAGAUAUAAGCGCAAGAUUCAUUCGAAUACGGUAUCUUGUAAGUUGGUAAGGUUCCUGUACUUUGUCACAAAUUUCGUCGUUCUGUGCCUAAAAUCUUUGCAGUUUUUGUUAUUUCAACAUAGUUUCUUUUUGUUAAUGGAUAUUAAUAAAUAA